ACAACGGAGAGUUUGAUCCUGGCUCAGGACGAACGCUGGCGGCGUGCCUAACACAUGCAAGUCUGGGAGAAUUGGGUAGCAAUAUCCAUAGUAAACCGGCGCACGGGUGAGUAAUCUGUAGGUAACCUGCCCUUUGGUCUGGGAUAACCCCGCGAAAGCGGUGCUAAUACCGGAUGAUGCAGCGGCUCCGCAUGGAGAUGUUGUUAAAGCCUUCGGGCGCCAAUGGAUGGGCCUGCAUCCCAUUAGGUUGUUGGUGAGGUAACGGCCCACCAAGCCUGCGAUGGGUAGCUGAUCUGAGAGGAUGAUCAGCCACACUGGAACUGAGACACGGUCCAGACUCCUACGGGAGGCAGCAGUGAGGAAUAUUGCGCAAUGGACGAAAGUCUGACGCAGCGACGCCGCGUGAAGGAUGAAGGCCCUUUGGGUCGUAAACUUCUGUAGAGAGGGAAGAAUGUCCCGUUUCAACGGGAUUGACGGUACCUCUAAAGUAAGGAUCGGCCAACUACGUGCCAGCAGCCGCGGUAAUACGUAGGAUCCGAGCGUUGUCCGGAAUCACUGGGUGUAAAGGGAGCGCAGGCGGGUUUUCAAGUCGGUGGUGAAAUUUUACAGCUCAACUGUAAAACUGCCUCCGAUACUGAAGAUCUUGAGUGUGGAAGAGGGCGAUGGAAUUCAUGGUGUAGCGGUGAAAUGCGUAGAUAUCAUGAAGAACACCAGUUGCGAAGGCGGUCGCCUGGUCCACUACUGACGCUCAUGCUCGAAAGUGUGGGGAGCAAACAGGAUUAGAUACCCUGGUAGUCCACACCUUAAACGAUGAAUACUUGGUGUCGGGCCGUAAGGCUCGGUGCCAAAGCCAACGCAUUAAGUAUUCCACCUGGGAAGUACGAUCGCAAGGUUGAAACUCAAAGGAAUUGACGGGGGCCCGCACAAGCAGUGGAGCAUGUGGUUCAAUUCGAUGCAACGCGAAGAACCUUACCUGGGUUUGAAAGGCAAGAUUCUAGCCGAUGAAAGUCGGUUACCCGCAAGGGGUCUUGUACAGGUGCUGCAUGGCUGUCGUCAGCUCGUGCCGUGAGGUGUUAGGUUAAGUCCUGCAACGAGCGCAACCCCUACAUUUAGUUGCUAUCAGGUAAUGCUGGGCACUCUAAAUGGACUGCCUACGCAAGUAGUGAGGAAGGUGGGGAUGACGUCAAGUCCUCAUGGCCCUUACACCCAGGGCCACACACGUGCUACAAUGGGCGCCACAAAGGGCUGCAAUACCGUAAGGUGGAGCCAAUCCCAAAAAAGCGUCCUCAGUUCGGAUUGAGGGCUGCAACUCGCCCUCAUGAAGCUGGAAUUGCUAGUAAUCGUAGAUCAGAACGCUACGGUGAAUACGUUCCCGGGCCUUGUACACACCGCCCGUCAAGCCAUGGAAGCUGAGGGUACCCGAAGCCGCUGUGCUAACCGCAAGGAGGCAGGCGUCUAAGGUAAAAUCAGUGACUGGGGCUAAGUCGUAACAAGGUAGCCGUAUCGGAAGGUGCGGCUGGAUCACCUCCUUU
rnacentral:rRNA from 1 species